rnacentral:rRNA from 1 species
AUUGAACGCUAACGGCGUGCUUAACACAUGCAAGUCGAGCGGCAGCAUGACUGUAGCAAUACAGUUGAUGGCGAGCGGCGGACGGGUGAGUAAUGCAUAGGAAUCUGCCUUGUAGUGGGGGAUAACCCGGGGAAACUCGGGCUAAUACCGCAUAAUCUCUACGGAGCAAAGUGGGGGACCUUCGGGCCCUACGCUAAAAGAUGAGCCUAUGUUGGAUUAGCUGGUUGGUAGGGUAAAGGCCUACCAAGGCAACGAUCCAUAGCUGGUCUGAGAGGAUGAUCAGCCACACUGGGACUGAGACACGGCCCAGACUCCUACGGGAGGCAGCAGUGGGGAAUAUUGGACAAUGGGCGAAAGCCUGAUCCAGCAACGCCGUGUGUGUGAAGAAGGCCUUCGGGUUGUAAAGCACUUUUAGUGGGGAAGAAAAGUUCAUGGCUAAUAUCCAUGAAUGCUGACGUUACUCACAGAAAAAGCACUGGCUAACUCUGUGCCAGCCGCCGCAGUAA